CCUACGGGAGGCAGCAGUGGGGAAUAUUGCGCAAUGGGGGAAACCCUGACGCAGCAACGCCGCGUGAGUGAGGAAGGACUUCGGUCUGUAAAGCUCUGUUAAUGUGGAAAAAAUGGUAGUUGGUCUAAUAGGCCGAUUAUUUGAUGGUACACAUAGAGGAAGCACCGGCUAACUUCGUGCCAGCAGCCGCGGUAAUACGAAGGGUGCAAGCGUUGUUCGGAUUUAUUGGGCGUAAAGCGCGCGUAGGCGGACCUGUAAGUCAGAUGUGAAAUCUCGGGGCUCAACCUCGAAACUGCGUCUGAAACUGCAGGUCUAGAAUCUCGGAGGGGGAAGGGGAAUUUCGCAUGUAGGGGUAAAAUCCGUAGAUAUGCGAAGGAACACCAGAGGCGAAGGCGCCUUCCUGGACGAGUAUUGACGCUGAGGCGCGAAAGCGUGGGGAUCAAACAGGAUUAGAUACCCUGGUAGUCCACGCUGUAAACUAUGAACACUAGGUAUUGGAGGAUUUGACCCCUUCAGUGCCGUAGCUAACGCGUUAAGUGUUCCGCCUGGGAAGUACGGUCGCAAGCUAAAACUUCAAAUGAAUUGA
rnacentral:rRNA from 1 species